AGCGGCGGACGGGUGAGUAACACGUGGGUAACCUGCCCAAGAGACUGGGAUAACACCUGGAAACAGAUGCUAAUACCGGAUAACAACACUAGACGCAUGUCUAGAGUUUGAAAGAUGGUUCUGCUAUCACUCUUGGAUGGACCUGCGGUGCAUUAGCUAGUUGGUAAGGUAACGGCUUACCAAGGCAAUGAUGCAUAGCCGAGUUGAGAGACUGAUCGGCCACAUUGGGACUGAGACACGGCCCAAACUCCUACGGGAGGCAGCAGUAGGGAAUCUUCCACAAUGGACGAAAGUCUGAUGGAGCAACGCCGCGUGAGUGAAGAAGGGUUUCGGCUCGUAAAGCUCUGUUGGUAGUGAAGAAAGAUAGAGGUAGUAACUGGCCUUUAUUUGACGGUAAUUACUUAGAAAGUCACGGCUAACUACGUGCCAGCAGCCGCGGUAAUACGUAGGUGGCAAGCGUUGUCCGGAUUUAUUGGGCGUAAAGCGAGUGCAGGCGGUUCAAUAAGUCUGAUGUGAAAGCCUUCGGCUCAACCGGAGAAUUGCAUCAGAAACUGUUGAACUUGAGUGCAGAAAAGAGAGUGGAACUCCAUGUGUAGCGGUGGAAUGCGUAAAUUUNUGGAAAACCCCAGUGCGAAGGCGGCUCUNUGUCUGCANCUGACCCUNAGCUC
rnacentral:rRNA from 1 species